rnacentral:rRNA from 1 species
GACAGAGGGUGCAAACGUUGUUCGGAAUUACUGGGCGUAAAGGGCGCGUAGGCGGCCCGUCAAGUCCCGUGUGAAAGCCCCCGGCUCAACCGGGGAACGGCGCGGGAAACUAGCAGGCUUGAGUUCGGGAGAGGGAAGCGGAAUUCCGGGUGCAGCGGUGAAAUGCGCAGAUAUCCGGAGGAACACCGGUGGCGAAGGCGGCUUCCUGGACCGACACUGACGCUGAGGCGCGAAAGCUAGGGGAGCAAACGGG